UACGGAGGGGGCAAGCGUUGUUCGGAAUUACUGGGCGUAAAGGGCGCGCAGGCGGCUGCUCAAGUCAGGCGUGAAAGGCCUGGGCUCAACCCGGGAAUUGCGCUUGAGACUGGGCUGGCUUGAGUGCGGGAGAGGAUGGUGGAAUUCCCAGUGUAGAGGUGAAAUUCGUAGAUAUUGGGAAGAACACCGAUGGCGAAGGCAGCCAUCUGGACCGACACUGACGCUGAGGCGCGAAAGCGUGGGGAGCAACAGG
rnacentral:rRNA from 1 species